rnacentral:rRNA from 1 species
CCUGACUGCUAUCGGAUUGAUACUAAGCCAUGCGAGUCAUUGUAGCAAUACAAGGCAGACGGCUCAGUAACGCGUAGUCAACCUAACCUAUGGACGGGAAUAACCUCGGGAAACUGAGAAUAAUGCCCGAUAGAACACUAUACCUGGAAUGGUUUGUGUUCCAAAUGAUUUAUCGCCGUAGGAUGGGACUGCGGCCUAUCAGUUUGUUGGUGAGGUAAUGGCCCACCAAGACUAUUACAGGUACGGGCUCUGAGAGGAGUAGCCCGGAGAUGGGUACUGAGACACGGACCCAGGCCCUAUGGGGCGCAGCAGGCGAGAAAACUUUGCAAUGUGCGAAAGCACGACAAGGUUAAUCCGAGUGAUUUGUGCUAAACGAAUCUUUUGUUAGUCCUAGAACCACUAACGAAUAAGGGGUGGGCAAGUUCUGGUGUCAGCCGCCGCGGUAAAACCAGCACCUCAAGUGGUCAGGAUGAUUAUUGGGCCUAAAGCAUCCGUAGCCGGCUCUGUAAGUUUUCGGUUAAAUCUGUACGCUUAACGUACAGGCUGCCGGGAAUACUGCAGAGCUAGGGAGUGGGAGAGGUAGACGGUACUCGGUAGGAAGGGGUAAAAUCCUUUGAUCUAUUGAUGACCACCUGUGGCGAAGGCGGUCUACCAGAACACGUCCGACGGUGAGGGAUGAAAGCUGGGGGAGCAAACCGGAUUAGAUACCCGGGUAGUCCCAGCUGUAAACUAUGCAAACUCAGUGAUGCAUUGACUUGUGGUCAAUGCAGUGCUGCAGGGAAGCCGUUAAGUUUGCCGCCUGGGAAGUACGUACGCAAGUAUGAAACUUAA